AUUGAACGCUGGCGGCAGGCUUAACUCAUGCAAGUCGAGCGGGGGGAGGUAGCUUGCUACCUAACCUAGCGGCGGACGGGUGAGUAAUGCUUAGGAAUCUGCCUAUUAGUGGGGGACAACAUUUCGAAAGGGAUGCUAAUACCGCAUACGCCCUAAGAGGGAAAGCAGGGGAUCUUCGGACCUUGCGCUAAUAGAUGAGCCUAAGUCGGAUUAGCUAGUUGGUGGGGUAAAGGCCUACCAAGGCGACGAUCUGUAGCGGGUCUGAGAGGAUGAUCCGCCACACUGGGACUGAGACACGGCCCAGACUCCUACGGGAGGCAGCAGUGGGGAAUAUUGGACAAUGGGGGGAACCCUGAUCCAGCCAUGCCGCGUGUGUGAAGAAGGCCUUUUGGUUGUAAAGCACUUUAAGCGAGGAGGAGGCUACCGAGAUUAAUACUCUUGGAUAGUGGACGUUACUCGCAGAAUAAGCACCGGCUAACUCUGUGCCAGCAGCCGCAGUAAUAC
rnacentral:rRNA from 1 species